rnacentral:rRNA from 1 species
GAUGAACGCUGGCGGCGUGCUUAACACAUGCAAGUCGAACGGAGCACUUUAUUUGAUUUCCUUCGGGACUGAUUAUUUUGUGACUGAGUGGCGGACGGGUGAGUAACGCGUGGGUAACCUGCCUUGUACAGGGGGAUAACAGUUGGAAACGGCUGCUAAUACCGCAUAAGCGCACAGCAUCGCAUGAUGCAGUGUGAAAAACUCCGGUGGUAUAAGAUGGACCCGCGUUGGAUUAGCUAGUUGGUGAGGUAACGGCCCACCAAGGCGACGAUCCAUAGCCGACCUGAUAGGGUGACCGGCCACAUUGGGACUGAGACACGGCCCAAACUCCUACGGGAAGCAGCAGUGGGGAAUAUUGCACAAUGGGCGAAAGCCUGAUGCAGCGACGCCGCGUGAGCGAAGAAGUAUUUCGGUAUGUAAAGCUCUAUCAGCAGGGAAGAUAAUGACGUUACCUGACGAAGAAGCACCGGCUAAAUACGUG